rnacentral:lncRNA from 10 species
GUGUGCAUGGGUGUGCAGGAGUCCUUCUGCUUGUGUGGAGUCUGUGAGACUGUGUGUGAGGUUGGAUGGGGAGAGCAAGCAGGAGAGGGAUCAUGAUCAUGAGGGCGAGGGAGUCCUUGGAAGACUGAGGGUCCAUGAGUGUGUGUGGAUCUGUAGGAGGCUGUGGCUGUCUCCUAUUUAUGGCCCCCUAAAACUUUCAUUUUCUACGUUCAGAAACUUCCUUCCCUAAUGGUGUGUAAUAAAGAAUUUGACUGCCUUUUGUCCCUGGCUCCUGAGAGGGAGACUAAACCUUUGGAAUUUCCCAAGUAAUAGGAGUGUCUUUAUUACUCAUGAGCCCCUUGGAACACACCUGGGUUUAUGCUAAGAGAUGAGAUGGCUCAGGUUAGAGGUUGGUCACAGUAAAGACCAACCAUGUGAUUAGAGAGUUGAGACUUUGGGCCAGGCUGACCUCUGGGGAGGAAGGGGGCGCUGGAGAUUGAAUUCAGGUAUGUGGCCAAUAAUUCAAUUAUGCUGAUGUAAGGAAAUCUCAAAAAAAACUCUGGACACCAAAGCUCAUAAAACUUUCUGGUUGAUGAACACAUUGAUGUCCCAG